UGGAGAAGAUCAGCUGGCAGAGCGUGACGCAGGUUUUGGAUAACUGUGCAGCUCUUGGUAAUAUCCUCACCUCUAGCGCUGUGUCUGCGGUUGAACUUGAAGCAGAGAGUGGACAGUCUACUUGCAGCAGGGGGGGUUUCCUUCUAGAUUCUUAGAUUUUAUUUUCAACUUCUCUGUAGAGCAUGCUGACAGCAAAAGAUUUCUAGAGUCACUUCCACUCUCCGUGGGGCCUUCUGCAGUUAGCCAUUUGUGCUAUACCUGCAGCGCUGUAUUUUAAAUGAAUGGAUUUACCUUUUAAAUAAAGACAGCCAAAAAACUACUGAACUGUGGACUCCAUGAGAGUAGUAGCCGAGGACUCUCUUCCUUUCCUGUGAAUCUCUUCAACAAUGUUUCUGCAACACCACAGCCUGUUAAACCUGCAGCUUACAGAUUUUCCUGUGCUCAGCUGAAGCAUCGAGGUUUAGCUGCGUGGGGCCGAGGCAGAGACAUGCUGCAUCGUUCGUGUUAGAGGUCAGUGUUGGGGGGAGCAUGUCUGGGCGGGGCCCCAACCAAGCCUGCAGUUGUGCAUUUUGUGUGCAUCCUGACAUUUGAAGUUGGGAUGCAAAUUUCCCAGAGACCAAAUCCUUUUCCCGGAGUGCUAAGAGUUCAUGUCACGCGUGGGGCAGUCGGCUGAGACUCGCUGUCACAUCUGAGCACCAGUCUGCGUUGGGAAUGGCUUAUUCUGUGCCAUGUUUGUGAUGCUCUUCUUUGCAGGGCUGUUUUGYGGAGGAGGAAGCUGGUUAGAGAGCUGGCAGGGAAACCAUGGGAAAAGCGCAGCCGUGCGCCUCUCCUCAGAAGUUCUUAGGCUGCCCAAAUAACCCAAGUGUUAGAGGCGCUGAAUGCUGGGCUGUCAGAGCAGGUUGAGAGAAACGCAAGGUAUUCUUUUUACUUUCCACCUCAUUUUUCACUAAGCUGCUUUCCUCCUGAGGUCAUGGGGCGUGAAAGAGCGGCUGCUCCACCUGCUGUCAGAAGCUUGAGGCUUUAGUCUUUGUUAGGGGCUGUUGCUAGGUGAAAGAAAAAGCUAGAGGUUUUCUGAAUUUCUGAGCAGAAGCCAGGCUUGUACCAGGGGAGGUGUGAAUUCAGGAAAACAGAGGCUUUUCUUUCUCUCCUGGCUGAUGUUUCUGGGGUCCCUGUCCUGGGAGUUGUCUGCAUACCUAACAUAACAGACAUGGGUGGUGCCUUUUCGCUUAAGGAGCUGAGUCGCAGGCUCUUGUGGUUUGUGCUUCCAAUGUGCUGUUGUGAACGUGGGUUUCUGAGAGCGUAUUUGAGAAGCUCGGCAUAGCAACGGA
rnacentral:lncRNA from 1 species